AUUGAACGCUAGCGGGAUGCCUUACACAUGCAAGUCGAACGGAGUGGCGAACGGGUGAGUAAUGUAUCGGAACGGGUCCAGUAGCGGGGGAUAACUACGCGAAAGCAAAGGUAAUACCGCAUACUAGUGGAGCGGCCGAUAUCGGUUUAGCUAGUUGGUGGGGUAACGGCGCACACAGGCGACGAACCGUAGCUGGUUUGAGAGGAAGACCAGCCACACUGGGACUGAGACACGGCCCAGACUCCUACGGGUGGCAGCAGUGGGGAAUAUUGGACAAUGGGGGAAACCCGGAUCCAGCCAUCCCGCGUGUGCGAUGAAGGCCUUAGGGUUGUAAAGCACUUUUGGCAGGAAAGCGGUACCUGCAGAAUAAGCACCGGCUAACUUCGUGCCAGCAGCCGCGGUAAUAC
rnacentral:rRNA from 1 species